rnacentral:lncRNA from 1 species
CACCUUGUUAUAUUUCCAAUGAAUUUUUCUUUUUCCCUCUCUCUCUCCCCGCCACUGGUCUUAUAGCAACCCCAUCUGAAGUCAGGUAUAUUACCCAAUGCCCUAUGCUGUUUCAGCAUCGAGCAUACUCCACCCUUGAGAAGUCAUAUUUCACAAGUGACGUGAUUUGUGUGUACAGGGCUGGGGGAUGGGGGAGGUUAGGAGAAGGAAAGACUAUGUACACAUUCAUAUAAGGAACUGGGGCUUCCUUUGGGUUGAAACAUCGUAUAAACAUAUUAUUGUUAGUAAAAUUGAAGACCUGGUUAAACUGGAAAACCAGAAGUAAGAAAGACUUUUUGUUUUUAAAUAUGGAAACAGAAGAAGCCAUAACUGAAAAUAAAGUGGGGUUCCUGGAUAGUCAGUCUCCUGUGUUUUUGGUUGGAGAAAGUCAAUGGAAUCCUUUCACGGCAAGCAAAAGUUGGCUACAGGGGCAGCUGACAUUGGAAACACAGCACAGAGCUCGUGUUUUGUGGAGUUUAUUGACUGCUUCCCAAAGAGAAGAAAUAAACAGAGGACUGGGUUUUUAAUUUUAGGAUCUAUUUGCACCCUAUUAAAUUAGAGAACCCAAAUGACGUCUACUCAGAGGAACUCCGGGGCUGCAUCAGUGCUUUCUUUCCCAGCUUGACAAAAGGUGAUUCAGUUCUAAGCAGGCACAUAUCACUCCCUUGGCCAGAAGUACCAGUCACUGGGAUGAAACACAAAAUAUUGCUGUUGCCAUUGUGUUUAUGAUAAUAUCAGACCUUAGCUCUGCCAGUUACUUAGUUUUAAUUCAGUUUAAGCAGUUUAUGAGAAAAACAAGUGAUGUGUCAUUAACCACCCAGUUUGUUAAACUGUGACUUAACUGCAGGGCCUACAGCUUCCUCUUCAAAAUGAGACCAGCUGAAUUUCAUUUUUAAGGUUUUUUUUAAACUAUUCAAACAUUUUCCAUAUAUAUUAUUUUUCCUAAUUUAGAUAUUUUAUCAAUAUAUUUAUUAUAUCUUCUAUUUUUAGAAUGAAAACUCAAAGAGAGCAAGUGACUUUCUUGUCAUUAUAAGGACUACGAUGGCACCUAUUACAUAGUGAUUACACAAUAAACUGUUUUCUGAAAGAGAAAAGUCACACACACACGUGAAAGCUGCUGUGCUUGACUUUAGAAUGAUGAAUUUUUAGCAACAGAUUUGCCCUGCAUUGUCUGUGCCUUCCAUAAAACUAAUGAACAUGACUACAAAGAUACAACCUGAUGUCUAUGAAGCAGCAGAAGACAAUCUACUAUGGAUUUUUUUUCUUCUCAAAGUAUCUAAUUUAUAUAUGAUUUCAUGACACUUUAUGGAUUUGGAAGAGGUUUCGAGAUCAUUUGAAAGCUGCCUUAAAUAUCUAGCUUACCUAACUAGAAGUAAAUCUAGAAGAUGGCUAAUGAUGACUGAAUUUCAUAGUUAAAUGUUCCUGUUAAUGUAUUGUUGAAACAGAAUGAUAUUGGAAUGAUUUUGGUAUGUCACUGUUGUUUCCUUCUACUUAUGCAACAACAUAAAAGUUAAAAAUUUGAAAGCAAGUUGUAAGAGACUGCUUUUUAUUUAAUUUCAGUGAAAAAAUGAAAUGAUUCUUCAAAAUAAUAACCUCUUCCCCCAAAUUGAGACUUUGUGAAGAAAUUAUGUUUUUAGCAGUGCUUUUCAUGUUGUGGGGGCCAUCUGUCCAUUUAAACACACGUAACUUCUUCCAGGACAAGUUCAUAAAUUCACAAUGUAGUAUAUUUAAUACAAAGAAUAUUCCAUGUAUAUACCAUGUGUUAUUAUAUAUGUAUUAAAAACAUGUAUAUGUAAUAUGUUAUAUCUUUAUGUUACCAAAAGCAUGAACAACAAAAGAAAGGAUAGAAAAACUGGACUAAAUUGAAAUUAAAACCUUUUGCACAUCAAAAGACAAUAUCAAGAAAAUGAAAAAUCAAGAAUAGGAGAUAGCAUUUACAAAUCAUAUAUCUGAUAAAGGUCUGGCAUCCAGAAUACAUAAAGCACUCUUACAACUCAACAAGCACAAGUCACACAACCCAAUUAAAAUAUGGGCAAAGGACUUGAACAGACAUUUUUCCAAAUAUUAACUACCAACAAGCACAUGAGAAGAUGCUCAUCAUCACUGGCCACAAGGGAAAUGAAAUCAAAACCACAAUGUGAUACCACUUCACACUCACAAGAUGGCUAUAAUUAGAAAAAAGUAGCCAGGAUUGGUGAGGAAAUGAGAAAAUGGAACUUAUACAUUCCUGGUAUAAUGGUCCAGCUACUGCAGAAGACAUACUGGCAGUUCCUCAAAAAGUCAGACACAGAAUUAUCUAUCACAUGACCAUUAAAUUUCACUCCUACGUAUUCACCCAAAGGAUUUGAAAACAGGGACUCAAAAUACACACACACUUGUGUUCAUGGCAACACUAUAAGAACAGCUGAAAGAUGGAAACAGCCUGACUGCCUUCAAUGGCUGAACAGAUAAGCAAAUUGUGGCAAAUACAUACAAUGGAAAAUUAUUUAGGCAUAAAAAAGAAUGAAACACUGAAACGCGAUACAAUGUGGAUAAACCUUGAAAAUAAUGCUAAGUAAAAUACGCCAGACAUAAAAGGUCACAUAUUGUAUGAUUCCACUUAUAUGAACUAUUCAGAAUAGAUAAAUUCAUAGAUACAGAAGGAAGACUGGUGGUUGCCAAGUGCUGGGGCUAAGGGAGAAUGGGGAGAAACAGUUUAAUGUGUAUGGGAUUUUAUUUUGGGAUGACAAAAAUGUUUUGAAACCCGAAAGAGGUGGUGAUUAUACAAUACUAUGAAUGUACUGAAUGUCACUAAAUUAUUCACUUUAAAAUGCUUAUUUUUAUGUUAUAUGAUUUUUACCUCAAUACACUUUUAAAAAUUUUAACUUCAAAAAUACCACUUAAAAUAGUAAUUGAAAAGAGCAUUUCUGCUUUGAUACGUGCUUUUACAAAACAGUUCUGUUGAUAAUUUUCUCUUCUACUAGAGCAUUUUAGAAGCAAAAACCAGACAUUCCAAUUUAACAAAAACCACAUUUGCAUGUAACCUUUAUUAUUAGGAAAAAAUCCUGGACAAAGACAUGAAUUUAAGUUUGGAGUUCAACUUACUAGAUUAGAAAAGCAAUAAUAUCUUUGUAUUUCAGUGUUCUUAUCUGCAAAAUAGGAAUAAUCUUACCUAUUCUAUCUACUUCACAAAUACCAUGCAGGGAUUAAGCAAAACUAAUUCCUAUCAGAAUGCAUUCAGAAUUCUAAAGUAUUAUAUAAGUAAAAAAUAAUAUUCUAUUUCAGUUCAAUUAAAUAUUAAACUCAAGUUUUGGGAUAACUUUAAGAAGGAAAAAUGUUUUGAAAAAAAAUGCAUCAAAUAGCCAAAAAUUAAUUUAAUUAAAAUACAUACUGACUGCCACUGUAUUAUCAGACAAUAUUUCAGGUACUUGAAACAUGGUGAACAAAAAAUUGGAGCACCUGCCUUUAGGGGGCCUCCCGUUUUGCUGAGAGAUGUAAAAUGAUGAGGCGAUGGCAUGUGUUUAAUGGUGAGUAGAGAAGAGAAGCAGUUGUUUUAAACCCUAAAUGUACUAUUUCUCCUCCAUGCUUCUAUGAAAACUAGCCUAAUUCAUAGCAAAUGGAAUAUAUAUAAGGUCUGUAUUUCAAUAUACAGAUCUGUAGAAGGAAGGGAAGAAAAUGAGUCUAAAUUUCAAAACUUCUAAGUCCAUUCAUCCUAAAUUAACUUCUGAGAAGAAAUUCUGAGUCAAGAAUUAUAAGGAAAUUGCUUCCUAUUAUAAGGUGAGAGGACGUGAGUCUCCUGGCAGAGGAGAGGGCCUGAAAAUGGGAUUAAAGGCAUACAAGUGUAAAGCAAUAGGGCUCAUGUUGAAGUUCUUGGGGGAAAAGACACACAGAGAAGAGAGCAUGUCCCAGGAAGUAAGACAUGGAUGAAGCUAAGCAUUCAACAGAACCAAGAAUCGGAUCCAGAGUCAGCACAAAAAAAUAAGACCCAAGGAAUGCACUGCAAUCUAACUGAAAACCCCAAAAUACUGAGCCAUUCCUCCCCUCACCUUACACAUACAGAAAUGGAAUAGAGAUCUGUAAGCCAGAGCCAAAUUUAUUCGAUUAUGAUGUAGAGUUAAAUGGAUGAUGUCAAAUAAUGUCUCUUUUUUUUAAAUUAAAAUGCAGUUGAUUUACAAUGUUGUACCAACCAAUACAUUGUUGUUGUUGUUGUUGUUUUAAUUUCCUUGGUAAAGACAUCUUAAACCAGUAAGCAGAGGUGAAAAGCCUGAAUCAAAUUGUGGAGAUCUACAGGCACCUUGGUGUAGCUGGACCAUAAAUUCUGAGACCACUGUAGUAAAUGAUGAGGCUAAUUGGAGAGGAGAACCCAUUUCAUGUAGAGGAAAAGCUUUAAAUGGAUUGAGAAGGAGCUUGGAACACGCCACAGCAAUAGAGAGCCUUAGAGUUAAAAGUAGGCAAGUGAUAUAUCAGAUUUAUGACUUAGCAGAAACACUUGGCAUUGCAGGUAACAGAGCUAUGAGAGGGACAGAUAUAUAAUAUAGUUUAAAAAGACCACUAAUGAGUCAUAUACUAACAGGAUUAGCAACCCUCUGGUUAUCCAAUACCUGAGCAGCUUCAUUCAAAAUUUUCUUUAGAGGCCUAGCAUCCUUGCCAGUAUAAAGUACUGAGGAGCAAGAAACUGCUGCCUGGAAAAAUGUAAACCCAGAUUCAAGUUAAAGAAGACAAAACCACAGAAGGAUGACUUAGGUAUUUUCUUUUAACUAAUGAAAACAUCAGAAAUUGCUAAUACCCACAAUUUUCCAGGACGAAAGAAUUGCUUUGCAUGGGGCUUCCCUGCCAGUUUUCUUCUCCCUUACUUUUCAAAAGAGAGUCUUUUGGGCAUCUUGCACUCUAUAAAUUCAAUAUCUGAGUAACUAUUUGUUUUAGUUUUAUAAAUUUUGUAAAAAAUGUUACUGUAGGUUGACAAUAGAGAGAUAAGAAAUUAAGAUAAAUAACAAUAUAGUUCAAACAGGAGUUCCCAUCAUGGCUCAGCAGAAGCGAAUCUGACUAGUAUCCAUGAAGACUCAGGUUAGAUCCCUGGCCUCACUCAGUGGGUGAAGGAUCUGGCAUUGCCAUGAGCUGUGGUGUAGGUCACACACACGGCUCGGAUCUGAUGUUGCUGUGGCUGUGAUGUAGGCCAGAAGCUGCAGCUCCAGUUUGACCCCUACCCUGGGAACCUCCAUAUACUUAGGGUGCAGCCCUAAAA